UGGGGAAUUUUGGACAAUGGGCGAAAGCCUGAUCCAGCAAUGCCGCGUGUGUGAAGAAGGCCUUCGGGUUGUAAAGCACUUUUGUCCGGAAAGAAAUGGCUCUGGUUAAUACCUGGGGUCGAUGACGGUACCGGAAGAAUAAGGACCGGCUAACUACGUGCCAGCAGCCGCGGUAAUACGUAGGGUCCAAGCGUUAAUCGGAAUUACUGGGCGUAAAGCGUGCGCAGGCGGUUGUGCAAGACCGAUGUGAAAUCCCCGAGCUUAACUUGGGAAUUGCAUUGGUGACUGCACGGCUGUAGUGUGUCAGAGGGGGGUAGAAUUCCACGUGUAGCAGUGAAAUGCGUAGAGAUGUGGAGGAAUACCGAUGGCGAAGGCAGCCCCCUGGGAUAACACUGACGCUCAUGCACGAAAGCGUGGGGAGCAAACAGG
rnacentral:rRNA from 1 species